UUUUUUCUCCGACGAUAUAGUUCUCUACUCCGCGAUAUUUCUUCAGAUUUCGCAGUUGAAUAUCCUCUAUUCUAUCACAAUUGAAGCUUCUCUUGAGACGAAAUUGAAAUCGAUGUACGCAGUUGUAGAUCUGAUUAUGCGAUAUAUGAGGGUUGAGUUAUGGGGCAGACACUUUGUGUGUUCAGGUGGAUCAGUCCACUGUUGUUGUUAAGGAACAAUUCAUGCAGUUUUGGUUAUUGGUACAGAUGGAAUCAUGGAAUCGUCAUUGUUGAUGGAAUAUUGCAGUUUGUGAACUAUAUAACAAGUUCCCAUUAGUCACAAUACUAACUAAAUUGAACUCUGCUAAAGUUUACUCUAGUUUGAUCAAACUCUAGCUUUAUGUUUUUGUAAAUGAGGAUGAUUUUAAGAGCUUAGUUGAACCCCUUAGAGAGAUUGCGAGAUAGUUCAGAUCAGAGAUAAUGUUUAUUUACAUCGAUAUAAACGAGGACAAUCUUGUUAAGCCAUUCCUUACUAUGCUUGGGAUCGAAGGCUCGGAUGAGACUGUUGUGGCUGCUUUUCAAAAUGAAAUUAGCUCAAAACAUUUAUUAGAGGCAGAUCCAACACUAGAAAAUUUUGCGUGAGGCUUGCAAAAGGUAAACAGUCGCAUUAUUACAAGUCCCAACCAAUACCAAGAAAUGUGAGUACUCAACUAUAUUGGUGUAGAAGUCGGAUUGAAUAUGUGGUAACGAGAGUUGUCUAUGAAAUAUGUAUAUGAUAGGAAGGAGAAACCGAAGCCAUUCAGGUCAUCGUUGGAAAGACUUUUACCGAAUUGGUUUUAAGCAGUCCAAACAACAUUGUUCUUGAGGUACACACGCCUUGGUGCAUGAAUGGUGAUGCCGUGAUUUUAUCUUUAGUGCAUUCUUCAUUUUAUUAGUUAGCACAAGUCAAGUAAGAUCUGACAUGUAUAAUCUAUAUUUUUAUUGAUUUCAGUAUCAACUAGCAGAUCAGAAGAAGAUGGAGGUCAGUUAACUCAACAAAUACUUUUACAAAUUAAAAUGAAAAUAUAAUUAACUUAUUUUCAUCAUCGUUACAAAGUAAUAUCAAAUUUAUGCAGAUUAUAGCUCUCUGUUAUUUUCAGGUGAUUCAAUAUUGGGCUUUCAAUAUGCUUAAAAUGUUGUGAUUUGUACAUAAUCAUAUGCACACAUAUCUUAAUAUUGAAUCAAUUCGUUAGGUUAUGUUAAUGAUAAUGAUGUAUUGAUUAAUUUGUUUGUUUAUUAUAUGAUGUAUAUACAUUGAAACAAUCUGUUAUUUGACUUUAGGAUGUUCAAUUCCUUUAGUGUUCUAUAUAUGACUAUGUUUCACUAUCUAUUGGUUCCUCAUUAAUUUGUUUAGUUGGCUAUGUUGCCAUGAUCAGAUACCAACUGAAUCUAAUGUGCAUACUCAACGGUAACGUUUUAUUUGAAAACAGAUAUUUCAUUGUAUGAAUAAUACAAGAGACAAGGUUAUAGAAAUUUGAAAGAGAUUGAUUGAUUGGUUGAUUGAGCAGGAAGAAGACAAUGCAAGAUUAAUACCAGAGACAGAGUUACAGUUACAGUUAAAGCAAACCAGAGAAAGAGGAAUUGGGACAUCAAUCCUUCAAGCUCAAUAGUGUUGAAGAGCAGAAAGAAAAGGUAAUUUAGU